rnacentral:rRNA from 1 species
UACGAAGGGUGCAAACGUUGCUCGGAAUCAUUGGGCGUAAAGCGCACGUAGGCGGCUUUGCAAGUCGGACGUGAAAUCCCUCAGCUCAACUGAGGACGUGCAUCCGAAACUGCAAGGCUUGAGUACUGAAGAGGAUCGCGGAAUUCCCGGUGUAGAGGUGAAAUUCGUAGAUACCGGGAGGAACACCAGUGGCGAAGGCGGCGAUCUGGGCAGAUACUGACGCUGAGGUGCGAAAGCGUGGGGAGCAAACAGG